UACGAAGGGGGCUAGCGUUGCUCGGAAUUACUGGGCGUAAAGCGCACGUAGGCGGCUUUGUAAGUUAGAGGUGAAAGCCCGGGGCUCAACUCCGGAACUGCCUUUAAAACUGCAUCGCUUGAAUCCAGGAGAGGUGAGUGGAAUUCCGAGUGUAGAGGUGAAAUUCGUAGAUAUUCGGAAGAACACCAGUGGCGAAGGCGGCUCACUGGACUGGUAUUGACGCUGAGGUGCGAAAGCGUGGGGAGCAAACAGG
rnacentral:rRNA from 1 species